CCUACGGGAGGCAGCAGUGGGGAAUAUUGGGCAAUGGGCGCAAGCCUGACCCAGCAACGCCGCGUGAAGGAAGAAGGCCCUCGGGUUGUAAACUUCUUUUAUCAAGGACGAAACAAAUGACGGUACUUGAUGAAUAAGCCACGGCUAACUACGUGCCAGCAGCCGCGGUAAUACGGAGGUGGCAAGCGUUAUCCGGAUUUACUGGGUGUAAAGGGCGUGUAGGCGGGACUGCAAGUCAGAUGUGAAAACCAUGGGCUCAACCCAUAGCCUGCAUUUGAAACUGUAGUUCUGGAGUGUGUGAGAGGAUAGUGGAAUGCGAGGUGUAGGAGUGAAAUCCGUAGAUAUCUGGAGGAACAUCAGUGGCGAAGGCGACUAUCUGGCACAUAACUGACGCUGAGGAGCGAAAGCGUGGGUAGCAAACAGGAUUAGAUACCCUAGUAGUC
rnacentral:rRNA from 1 species